UAAACCCAGCAAUACUCUUUAAAGAGUAAAAAAUAAACAGUUUUUACCGAUAUAUGGAGCUGUCAAAAUAAUGGGUGAUAUUUUUUUGGGAAUAAUGCAUAUUUUGUACCCAUUUCCAUGUUCCUUGUGUUUACUCAUUAAUGAGUGAAAAACAAGUUGAAGUUUUAAACAAACAACUGAAGAAACUGUUGGUGGAAGCUCCGAUGGAUGAAUGCCUUCGUUUCGUACUGUUUGUUCUGGUCACAGAAAAAGUCGGAACGGAAUGGACGUAGCCAGACACAAGCGAUUCAGACGAGAUAUCGACAUGCGGAAAUUCUUCCCAACUGGACCCGAUCCUUUACAGCUACGUGGUGCUGAUGCUCCCAAUGAAUAGCACGGCGCGGCACCGGCACGAUUUGAAAUCCGCGGAGGAAUGGAGGAAUUUCAUACGUGAUUAAAUUGACUAUCUCGGUAUGCUGAUCUCCGGAUACUCCAAGUGAUGUUGAGAGAAUCGGAAAACAGAGUGUUUGCCGUAGUAAAUUCGGUCUGUUCGGUGUUUAUUUAUUUACAAGAUGAUACGCGACACAGGGAGGCAAACCAGGCCAAUAAGAAUUUAGUCUACUGCUUUCAUAUAAUAUCUUAUUUAUGUGUUAAUAAAUCAUAAUA